AAACAUAUGCGCCGAAUUGGUCACCGCCGUCCGAGCUUUUCAUGACUUGCCUCUCCCCUCCGCACUUGUUUUCGGUUUAUUGAGACUGAUCUCGCACGAUAAAGAAGCACCGGCGUGCUACAGGCUCUGUGACCAGUCCCCAAAGCGUAGCACAGUUUCCCAACAACGGUUUCCAGACAUCUGACCUGCCGCACGUAAAUACAGCCGAAGAGAGAGCUGCCUUGCUCCGAUUCGUGCCCACCCCCACGUUCCCUUGCACCAGAUUCUCUAUUAGGGACAAAGGUAGAGUCAACCGCAUGAAUUUGUCCGUGAGAUUGUGAGCAGGUAGCUCCAGCUCUCAGUAUAAAACCAUUUCCAUGUGGUUUUCACUUGUGAGCUCUGAAAGCUCCAUGAUGUCACCUUUGCGUUUUCGGAAAGUCAAACACCAUAAGCCUGUGCCUGGGAUUUGCUGGUAAUGUGCAACGUGCAAGGAGAGCCGUCCUGAACUGCAGCCUCUCUUUUACACAGCAAACCUGCUCUGCCAGCUUUGGGCCGAGUGAAUUCUCUGACCACUUAAAAUGCAAAUGAAACAAUCGAGGCACAACAGUGACAGCAGGGAUCCGGGAAUUCCUGCAUGUCCCACGUCGCUCCAGUCUGACAUAUGCAUCUAGACUUCUUGCACAUGGUAUCCUGAUGGAAAGGAGGCGGACCGUUCACUGUACUGAGCUUUUUUGAAUGCAUACUGCGCUGAAGUUUUCACAGCUGUGAGUUCAAGUGGAGAGAUGACAUGUUUCACCCGCUAAAAGGAACAAUUGGACGGAGAGGGAUGCAGGACUGAUUUCUGGUACCAGAAGGUGGGAAAGAGAGAGAAGGAAUUGCUGCUCAGUACUGAGCUGCAUGUCACAGUGGAGAAGAUUACUAUCUAGAGGCUCUCUGCACUGUGUUGUAUUAACACUGCUAUCAGUGUUACUCUGAACAGGAAAACAUAGUUUGGAGGUUUACACAGAGACACUAGCAGCUGGAUUUUGAAAGAUCCACAGUGCCCACGUUUUAUCAAAUUUUCUGAAGCUCACUCUGAACUUUGCACCAAGUUUAGACAUACUUAGCAUCUUGUAAACUGUAAAAGCAGUGCUGUAAAUGUAAUCAAUUUAGACUAUAAGAAAAUAUCCUGCAAAUGAGAUACUCUAUUCUAUCUCAGAGGUAUCACUACCUCUAACGUCUUUCAGUCUCAAUGCAUAUUUGCUUUUGAAACCACUAUAUGUGAGUUGCACUGCAAGCUUAAUGUGCCUGGUUGUAACCUGAAAGUUUGUCCAGAAAUGCAUAAACUAGAAUCCACCCACAUGCAUUACCAGUUACAAACAGGGGAAUGUCAUCAAUCAUUAGCAAUAGUGGAGGAAACAGUAUACUAAUAGGGUGAUGAAGGGUUCAAUUCAGACAGGUUGCUUUGACCUCAUACUUUGCUUGACAAAUUUCUGCUUUCUUAGUGUAGAGUUAGUCUACUUCAGCUAAUUAACCUCAAAUAGACAAAUCAACAAUAGUCCAUUUCUGUAGUUGCCUUGAACUGCUGUUGAUUUCAGUUGCUGUGGCGCAACUCCAUUAAGCCUGUUGGCCAAGACAUGAAACUUAUGAAACCAAGACUCAGAAUGAAAAAAAAAGAGCCAGUGACACAGCAAAUGGGAGGAAAAGAAAGGCAGAGGCAGAGAACGAUGAGACAGAGGGGGUGAAGCACAGAAGGAAUGGCUGCGAGAAACGAGAGGAGGCAGAGGAGACUGAAACAGAGUCUCUAACAAGGAGAAAAGUGAGAAAGAAACAGAAAAAACACAAGAAAGUCAGCAGGGCUUACGCGCUCUGUCCCCAGUGUUUUCACCAUCACACAGACAAAUUUCACUAGGUCAGCCCUUCACUUUAUAAGCAUCUACCCGUCUUGCCACAGUGUUUCCCAGUUUAAUUCAACACCACAGAGAGGCGAUAUGGCCUCAGUCUCAGCGAACCCAGCCACAGGGGCGCUCUGCAAGGACACUGCUACAUUACAGUUCCUCCAUUGGCUGGGCUUCUGGGAUGCGGCAGCGAUGAAAAUAAUGCCGAACAGAUCGUGCCUGGAUGACUACUUCAGGCAUGCUGAGGCUGCACUAUCCCCUUCGGCCCACUUGAAACAAUGGGUCUGAUAACGACCUAACACUGCAGCCAGAGCAACAGGAACAGCUGACACUUUCUAGGGUCUGACAAUUGGGUUUCUUUGCUAUGCACUACGGUCAGGUUGUGGUCAGUUUCAGUGACUUUUUGGUUAAUGUCAUCUUGGUCCAGCCUUUUUACGACUACACCAGAUUUUAAUAAAUAUUUUACUUCGCUGGCUGUGCCACAUAUACCAGCAGUCCAGCAUAUCCCAGUAGGAUAAAUCAUGGUGAUCGCAACUUAUUCAUUGGUCUUUUUUAUGUCAACUAAAAAAUGAAACAGUUCUGCAUACAGGCCCUGUGAAUGUAACUAGGUCCUAGAUGGAAACUUGAAGAAAUACAGAAGGCUUUUUUUUACAUACACUGUAAAAACUGGUUGACCAGGAUAACCUGGUAGCUGCAAUGCAAAGUUUGAAAGCAGGCAGCACGUGUAGAAACCUGGAAAGCAGUCUUACAUAAGCACUGAAUGAAAAAUGUGAACUUUUAAAAUAUUAGUUAAAUGUCAGUCAACAUUUAACAAACAGUAUAGUAAAACAAAUAUAAAUAUUAAUAAGGUUUCAAAGCACAAACUGCAAAUGCAUGGAGAUGAGGUUAGUUCCCUUAAAAGGACUUCCUGUUUCCUGUUUCUAACCCAGCUCUUCGUCCAACUCACAAAUUAUGUUGGAUUUUCUCGCCCAUGUUUAGGAAUUUAUUUCCUUGACACUCUUGUCUUGCAAAUGGUUUCAGAUACACAGCUGAUAGGAAUUUGCAUGGGACUUGGUGAAAACAUUACAAAUUAAGCGUAAAUACAAACAUUAAAUGGUGGUACUGCGCCAGCAGAUCCUGAAUUUAAAGCUGACCUUUUAAUACCCAGUCAGACAAUGAAAGGAAGUAAUAAAAAGCAGAUUGCUGGGGUGUGCAAAAGAGUUUAAAUUCAAGUGUGAAAAAAAUGAAAACUGUUGCUUUCCUAUGACCUCAUCCAAAGUACUGCACCCAGACUUUUCCACCCUCUCACCAGUCAGAGAAUGAGAAAACAUAAAGCAUUUGCAAUGAUACUCAGACUGAAGGGAAUAUGACACACAGACAACAUGAAAGAACUGAAUCACUUUAUCUGUGAACAAAGGCCACUUUGGGGAGAUCUGUUAUUUAAAAUCCUGAAAGAACUGAGAAAAAUCAACCCAAAGGAGUACUUCAGACUCAGAAACACAAAGGACAGAGGACAAAAAUUGAAAUUAAGCGAUAACAGAUUAGAAAUGAAAGAAUAAGAAGCAUUUAUUUACAAGGAACAGACUACCAAAACACAUUGAAGACAGUGAUUCAUUGAUUGAAAGGAGCUUGGAAAAGAACUCUGAAAUGAAACUAAUAACAGCUGGAUGAGCAUGACGCCAAGAAAGGUGUCCUUUCACAUUUCACCUCAGUGGGCCCAUGUGACAGUUUACCUUGGUAAAUAUGCAUGAUGAUUUUGCAAAUUGAUCAUUUUUUUACUGGGCUCACAACAUGCAUUGAUUUUCCUAAUCAUACCUUAGAUUAUUCCACAGUGAUUUUACUGGGGUUUACUACACCUUUCGAAUCUUUUAUUUAUCCAGAAAUGCCCAUUUUGAACAACUUCACAUUUACAAGGAUGGCCAGGAGAUCGCCCAUUUGCCCAGCAGAGCAUUUAUUGGAGCGAUCAGAGCAAAGCAUCGUGCUCAAGGGCACAACAACAGCUUCUCACCUGGGAUUUGCACCAACUCCACACUGCCAGCCGAAACAUAACCAUGUGUUUUUCUAAGUGGGGUUUCUCCUUUUAGCCUCAGCCAUCAACAAUUUCAAGAGAUUGCCCUGAGAACAUUUCAUUUUUCAGUUGGACGGUUUUUGCAGAACAGAAAACUGAAUAAAGCUUAAAAAAAAGCACACAAAACUAUAAUGCUGAAAGUGGUAAACAAGCCACCGUCUCAUUGUAAUUAUGCGUGCAAGCAUGUCUGCCUCACAAUAAAAUAAAAAUAAAUAUCUUUGUUUUCCA